rnacentral:rRNA from 1 species
AACGAACGCUGGCGGCAUGCCUAACACAUGCAAGUCGAACGAGACCUUCGGGUCUAGUGGCGCACGGGUGCGUAACGCGUGGGAACCUGCCCUUAGGUUCGGAAUAACUUCUCGAAAGGGGUGCUAAUAACGGAUAAUGUCUUCGGACCAAAGAUUUAUCGCCUUUGGAUGGGCCCGCGUUGGAUUAGCUAGUUGGUAGGGUAAAAGCCUACCAAGGCGACGAUCCAUAGCUGGUCUGAGAGGAUGGUCAGCCACACUGGGACUGAGACACGGCCCAGACUCCUACGGGAGGCAGCAGUGGGGAAUAUUGGACAAUGGGCGAAAGCCUGAUCCAGCAAUGCCGCGUGAGUGAUGAAGGCCUUAGGGUUGUAAAGCUCUUUUACCCGGGAUGAUAAUGACAGUACCGAGAGAAUAAGCUCCGGCUAACUCCGUG